rnacentral:tRNA from 1 species
CGGAAGGAUGGCAGAGUGGUCUAAUGCGGCUGUCUUGAAAACAGCUGGGUGAGAGCCCCGGGGGUUCGAAUCCCUCUCCUUCCGU